rnacentral:rRNA from 1 species
UAGUCCACGCCGUAAACGAUGGACACUUGGUGUUGGAGGUAUUGACCCCUUCAGUGCCGUAGCUAACGCGUUAAGUGUCCCGCCUGGGGAGUACGGUCGCAAGAUUAAAACUCAAAGAAAUUGACGGGGGCCCGCACAAGCGGUGGAGCAUGUGGUUUAAUUCGAUGCAACGCGAAAAACCUUACCUGGGUUUGACAUAUACAGGAACCUUCCAGAGAUGGAUGGGCCUUCGGGCCUGUAAACAGGUGCUGCAUGGCUGUCGUCAGCUCGUGUCGUGAGAUGUUGGGUUAAGUCCCGCAACGAGCGCAACCCUUGUCUUUAGUUGCCAUCAUUUAGUUGGGCACUCUAGAGAAACUGCCGGUGACAAACCGGAGGAAGGUAAGGAUGACGUCAAGUCAGCAUGCCCCUUACGCUCUGGGCUACACACGUGCUACAAUGGUCGUGACAAAGAGUUGCUAGUCUGCGAAGGCAAGCCAAUCUCAUAAACGCGGCCUUAGUUCGGAUUGCAGG